rnacentral:rRNA from 1 species
ACCCCACUGCUAUCGGGAUGGGACUAAGACAUGCUAGUUGUGCGCUCUCAAGCCAUGUUGAGGGCGCAGCGUACAGCUCAGUAACACGUGGCUAACCUGCCCUUGGGACAGAACCAACCCCGGGAAACUGGGGCUAAUGUCCGAUAGGCGAAGAACUCUGGAAUGAGUCUUCACCCAAAGGGCGCUUGGAUCAUGCUUCCAGGUGUCGCCCAAGGAUGGGGCCGCGACCGAUCAGGUUGUUGGUGAGGUAAUGGCCCACCAAGCCUAUAACCGGUGCGGGCCGUGAGAGCGGGAGCCCGGAGAUGGGCACUGAGACAAGGGCCCAGGUCCUACGGGGCGCAGCAGUCGCGAAAACUUUGCAAUACACGAAAGUGUGACAGGGUCAUCCCGAGUGCCGACCGCUGAGGUUGGCUUUUACCUAGUCUAGAAAGCUGGGGGAAUAAGGAGAGGGCAAGUCUGGUGUCAGCCGCCGCGGUAAUACCAGCUCUCCGAGUGGUGUGGACGUUUAUUGGGCCUAAAGCAUCCGUAGCUGGCUGUUCAAGUCCCCUGUUAAAUCCACCGAUUUAAUCGUUGGCUUGCGGGGGAUACUGUUCGGCUAGGGGACGAGAGAGGCAGACGGUAUUCCCGGGGUAGGGGUGAAAUCCUAUAAUCCCGAGAAGACCACCAGUGGCGAAAGGCUGUCUGCUAGAACGCGCCCGACGGUGAGGGAUGAAAGCUGGGGGAGCGAACCGGAUUAGAUACCCGGGUAGUCCCAGCUGUAAACGAUGCA